GACGAACGCUGGCGGCGUGCUUAACACAUGCAAGUCGAACGGAAAGGCCCUGCUUUUGUGGGGUGCUCGAGUGGCGAACGGGUGGGUAACACGUGAGUAACCUGCCCUUGACUUUGGGAUAACUUCAGGAAACUGGGGCUAAUACCGGAUAGGAGCUCCUGCUGCAUGGUGGGGGUUGGAAAGUUUCGGCGGUUGGGGAUGGACUCGCGGCUUAUCAGCUUGUUGGUGGGGUAGUGGCUUACCAAGGCUUUGACGGGUAGCCGGCCUGAGAGGGUGACCGGCCACAUGGGGACUGAGAUACGGCCCAGACUCCUACGGGAGGCAGCAGUGGGGAAUAUUGCACAAUGGGCGGAAGCCUGAUGCAGCAACGCCGCGUGCGGGAUGACGGCCUUCGGGUUGUAAACCGCUUUCGCCUGUGACGAAGCGUGAGUGACGGUAAUGGGUAAAGAAGCACCGGCUAACUACGUG
rnacentral:rRNA from 1 species